rnacentral:rRNA from 1 species
AGCAGCCGCGGUAAUUCCAGCUCCAAUAGCGUAUAUUAAAGUUGUUGCAGUUAAAAAGCUCGUAGUUGAAUUUCGGGAUUGACACAUCGGUCGUGCCUUAAGGGGUAUGAACUGGUGUAGUCAAUUUCUCACCUUCUGGAGAACCGCGAUGCCCUUAAUUGGGUGUCGCGAGGAACCAGGACCUUUACUUUGAAAAAAUUAGAGUGUUUAAAGCAGGCAUUUUGCUUGAAUACAUUAGCAUGGAAUAAUAAAAUAGGACGGCAUGAUUCUAUUUUGUUGGUUUUAGGAUCACCGUAAUGAUUAAUAGGGAUAGUUGGGGGCAUUAGUAUUCAAUUGUCAGAGGUGAAAUUCUUGGAUUUAUUGAAGACUAACUACUGCGAAAGCAUUUGCCAAGGAUGUUUUCAUUAAUCAAGAACGAAAGUUAGGGGAUCGAAGACGAUCAGAUACCGUAGUAGUCUUAACCAUAAACUAUGCCGACUAGGAAUCAGACGAUGUUAAUUUUUUAAUGACUCGUUUGGCACCUUACG